CGCGGUAAAGUAGCGGCGGUAAAGUUUAGUACUCUGAAAGAUAAGUUAAAUUAACGACGUGUUUAUUUACAAGUAUUCUUGUUUCUAAGUGGACCCAUUUCCCUCUCAGUUGUGUGCAGCCAGCGAGUUCGACGGUGGAUUGAUGACGGUGGAGAAUUUAGUAGAAGAAUAAAUCCAUCAGUAACCAGAA